rnacentral:tRNA from 1 species
GAGGGUAUAGCUCAGUGGUAGAGCAUAUGCCUAGCAUGCACAAGGUCCUGGGUUCAGUCCCCAGUACCUCCA